ensembl:lncRNA
CUGAUUGGAGCAAAAGGGGAAUAAAAGGCUGUGGAAGCCAGGAUGAGCUGGGAGUUGAAGGCGUGCAACUUGCAGAGUGUGCAAGUGUCUGUGUUUGCUGAUUGUGCUGUGGUCAACGCCCACUCCAGGUGGCCAGAGGUCAUCUUAAUGGAGACAACCACUUCAGCGAAGACGAUCCAGGCACUGAGAGGUCUGUUCAGCCAUUAUGGAGUACCAGAGGCGCUCCUCAGUGAUAAUGUGCCACAGUUCACAUCUGAGGAUUUUGCCACCUUUUUAAAGUCAAAUGGCAUGUGUGCUUGGCUCCUUUUCACCCGGCAACGAACAGUCUGGCUGAACGCUUUGUACUGACUUUUAAGCAUUCUCUUAGGGCAUCAAAGGUGAUGCCCUAAGAGAAUGCGUCAUCAGUUCAGAGGCGACUGGAUGCUUGUCUGCUUCAAUAUAGGAACACUCCACAUUCAACUACUCAGGAAGCACCAGCUAUGCUGUUUUUACACCGCAAGCUCCAAACUCGUCUGGAUUUGCUGAAACUGAGUGUGGCUGCAGUGGUGGAUCAGGCGCAAGAUUCCCAGCUUAGUUACCGAGCGGUGCACACAAAAUCUAGGUCGUUCAGCGUCGGCGAUCCAGUCCUGGUCCUGGAUUACCGGAAGGGGAGAAGUGGACACUGGGAACCGUUACAUCUCAGGCCACAUUUACACAUAGCCGGGUAUUUACAGAUACAAAUAUUUCUCCCCCUCCAUUUUCUCUGUAGGCGAACUGCAGGGGGUCCAGGAGGGGGUCGGUGAGGGACUUCAGGUGGGUCAGGACUAGCCGUUCAAAAGACUUCAUGACUACAGAGGUCAGGGCGACGGGCCUGUAGAUAUAUGCACACACGCCACCACUACAGUCAUAUUUCCCAAAUUCAGCACCAGUUCAGCACUCAGUCCCACCCAACUCAUCAGCUGACAAUAGAACACAGAAUGCAGGGCCACUCAGCACCAUCAACACAUAUUUUGACACGCACCUGUCGAAGGCAUGGGGCAGUUUUCAUUUACUCAAGCCCUUUUCAAGGAAGCUUAGUGAAUUUACCUCUGAUGGUUGAUGGUCUUGAAAAACAUUUUGUGUGUUAUACAAUACUGGCAAGUGUCAAUUACUUGUAUUGUUGUAUUGCCUGUAUUUUUUGUGGGGGGG